rnacentral:rRNA from 1 species
UGGGGAAUUUUGGACAAUGGGGGAAACCCUGAUCCAGCCAUCCCGCGUGUGCGAUGAAGGCCUUCGGGUUGUAAAGCACUUUUGGCAGGAAAGAAACGUCAUGGGUUAAUACCCCGUGAAACUGACGGUACCUGCAGAAUAAGCACCGGCUAACUACGUGCCAGCAGCCGCGGCAAUACGUAGGGUGCAAGCGUUAAUCGGAAUUACUGGUCGUAAAGCGUGCGCAGGCGGUUCGGAAAGAAAGAUGUGAAAUCCCAGAGCUCAACUUUGGAACGGCAUUUUUAACUACCUGGCUAGAGUGUGUCAGAGGGAGGUGGAAUUCCGCGUGUAGCAGUGAAAUGCGUAGAUAUGCGGAGGAACACCGAUGGCGAAGGCAGCCUCCUGGGAUAACACUGACGCUCAUGCACGAAAGCGUGGGGAGCAAACAGG